rnacentral:RNase_P_RNA from 1 species
GGCUUUGAUCAAACUUUCGCAAAGUUUGUGAGGAAAGUCCACCCACUACAAAAGGCCACUCCGCAAGGAGUUCUCUAAGGGAAGGCAACCACUCAGAAACGGUACAGCCUUGGAGGAGGAUGAUGCCUUAAAUGCUACUGGUAACAGGAGCAGAUAGGCUGACGCUCUCCAUGGAUUUGGUGAAACGGUGAGCCCUGGCCAGUGCAAGCAUAAGCGCUCAGUUGAAUGUUGAGGUGAACCAUUCCCUACAGGGAGGUUCAACACAAGGUGGCUUACAGCU